rnacentral:rRNA from 1 species
UACGUGAGGUCCGAGCGUUGUCCGGAAUUACUGGGCGUAAAGAGCUCGUAGGUGGUUUGUCGCGUUGUUCGUGAAAACUCACAGCUCAACUGUGGGCGUGCGGGCGAUACGGGCAGACUAGAGUACUGCAGGGGAGACUGGAAUUCCUGGUGUAGCGGUGGAAUGCGCAGAUAUCAGGAGGAACACCGAUGGCGAAGGCAGGUCUCUGGGCAUUAACUGACGCUGAGGAGCGGAAAGCAUGGGGAGCGAACAGG